rnacentral:rRNA from 1 species
CACGUAGGGCGCAAGCGUUGUCCGGAAUUAUUGGGCGUAAAGAGCUCGUAGGCGGUUUGUCGCGUCUGCUGUGAAAACCCGAGGCUCAACCUCGGGCCUGCAGUGGGUACGGGCAGACUAGAGUGCGGUAGGGGAGAUUGGAAUUCCUGGUGUAGCGGUGGAAUGCGCAGAUAUCAGGAGGAACACCGAUGGCGAAGGCAGAUCUCUGGGCCGUAACUGACGCUGAGGAGCGAAAGCAUGGGGAGCGAACAGG